UGGCAAACGACAGAUAUAUAUGUACAAACCUAUUUAUUUGUGUGUGAUGAGUUUUACAUCGUAUUUUAUCCUCCUCCUCGGAUUGACUGGAUCUUGGUGAUAGAAAGUGCGGAUCAGCAGAACGUUAACGAUCUUCUGAAAGUGUUUGCCGAUCGAUUG